GGCUCGGUGGUGCAGUGGUAGAGCACGCGUAUCAGGAUAGGAUGAAACACGGGUUCGAUUCCCGCUUGAGGUU